CUCUUCUGGGAACUAUUUGUUUAUAUAUUUGGUUGCUUAACUCCUUUGUGAACUGUGUCUGUGAGAGUAUUUCUACGUACUGAGAGUCGUUUCAGAACCCGGCUCCCAGCUCGGGAGUGCAGACUCUGCCGCCUUCCUCUCGCCACUCGAGCACAUCUGAAUGAGACAACGAACUUCCGCUCUUUUCCCAGAACCGCCAGCUCGGUGCAGGGUGUUGUUUAAAAGGAAAGAAAAGAAAAGAAAUGACAAAGAUCUCACUGGCCUUUAGAAGAUCAUAACCAAAAAUAAUCAAAACCACUUGCCUCGGAUCAGUGCUUUGCAGUUUACAUUCUUUGGCUAAAUAAGACAUGCAAAUAAACAGUGAACACCUUCGGUAGAAGAGCUACAGACGAGUGCCCAUGGACUCCUGGCCACUGAAAGCUUCAGACUCUUUACCCGUGCGUCCAUCCACUGCUUAGUCACGGAGCCGCCCCGCUUGCUGACCGUCCAGCCUGGGCAGGACCCCACGUCUCAGGAGGACCCAAGGCAAGCCGCAGCCCGUCCCCAGAAAGCCCCUUCUGAUCAGUUCUCACUAGAACGUCGCCGGCUGCACUGAGGGAGGCCCCCACAGGCGCGGGAACAGGUGCACUCCCGGCGGUCUUUGGCUGGACAGUACUGACGGUCGCGGGGUUCCAGCCCCACAGCCCCCACCCGGCCUGGGAACAGCGCCCUCCCAUGAAGAGUCUAUCCCCAGGCCAGCCCAGUGACCUGCCAGGACAUCGGGGAAGGAAAGCCAAGAAGACACUCCUUGCGUCCUGCCCGUGUCUCUCUCCCCAGACAAAGCACAUCAGGACAGGUGGGAGCCAAGAUGCCGGGAGGGGCAGCAGGAGGGCUGGGAGGGUGAGGGAGGAUGGUGAGCAGAGAGCGCCUCGUUCUGGGGGCCGGCCCCUCACGUGCAAGGUGGACACCGGCUCAGGGGGCUGCUGCACCGUCAUGGGUCAGAUCGAAGGCCGGGAACGUUGUUUCAGCAAGAAACACGGCCCACGAAUCAGUCUGGUUUUGAGUCCAGCUGCUGUCCGUGGGGCUGAGCCCUUCCCGUAGCCUCGCCCUCUGGGCAUCCCCGUGCCCUCGCUCAGCAACAGGGGUCCCCAGGCGUUCCUGCUCCUGUGUCUGCCCACUCCUUGGGUCUGGCAGCUUCUGGUACUUUCCCUGACACAGGUAGGGCACUAGUUUAUCUCCUGUCUGAGGUGCGGCUGCUUCCCGGGGUCAGGGAUGGAGCGGAGCCUGGCUCCCGGUGGCUCCGACCUCCUCCGGCUUAGCUCCAGUCUGGUGGGAAAGUCCUCUCCUGGUCCUUUCCCCUACGCUGGAAGUUCCUUAAAUCCCUAACUUGAAAAGCAGGUUCUCUGUGCUCCAGGGAAGGGAGGGUUGACUUUACCAAAGCUGAGAGCGAGAAUUUCCAUUUCACUUUCUCGUAGAUCAAAGAGAAGGAAGAGAAGCACACACGGGGGAGAUUAUACUCUGAAGCCAGAUUAUACUCUGAAGCCACGGGAACAGCCACACAUACGGAGUUCUGGAGCUGGGAUGUGUCAUCUUCCCCAUAUGUGGAUGUGGUCCCCGACGUGGAAGCUCUCCAAGCCCCCGACUUAUUUUUUUUAAAUGAAAGCUUCAUCAUGUGGGUAUCACGUGUCAUUAACUCUGUUGGCAGACUCUCCCUUCUCCAGAGAAUGCUGGUGGAGCUGAAGUUUCGAGGUUCUAAUCAUGGCUGUCUCUGUUUUAAAAGGAGCCCACCCAGGAUCACCUCAUAAAAAUAACAGGUGCACCCAUCCCAGGAAAGUACAAGAGUUUAGGAGCCCCAGGUCAGACACUGGGGUCAAGCACCCACUAUUAGCACAAAAGGUGCUCCCCACACUCUCGUCUCUUAGGACGUUAAAAGGGUUUCAGGCAUUCCGUGCCAGGAACUGGGGCAGAAAGCCAUCAUCUUGCAGUGACAUGGCCUCAUGUGUGCUUCCUGCCUCGAGAUGGCUCUGGAAGUCUGUUGUGUUGAGUUUGGG
rnacentral:lncRNA from 1 species